AGUUUGAUCAUGGCUCAGGAUGAACGCUAGCGGCAGGCUUAACACAUGCAAGUCGAGGGGUAACAGGGAUUGCUUGCAAUCCGCUGACGACCGGCGCACGGGUGCGUAACGCGUAUGCAACCUACCUUUUACAAGGGGAUAGCCCAGAGAAAUUUGGAAUAAUACCCUAUACGAUCAUUAAUUGGCAUCAAUUAAUGAAGAAAACUCCGGUGGUAAAAGAUGGGCAUGCGUCCUAUUAGUUAGUUGGUAAGGUAACGGCUUACCAAGACUCCGAUAGGUAGGGGUCCUGAGAGGGAGAUCCCCCACACUGGUACUGAGACACGGACCAGACUCCUACGGGAGGCAGCAGUGAGGAAUAUUGGACAAUGGAGGCAACUCUGAUCCAGCCAUGCCGCGUGCAGGAAGACGGCCCUACGGGUUGUAAACUGCUUUUAUACAGGAAGAACUAUAUCUACGUGUAGAUAUUUGACGGUACUGUACGAAUAAGGAUCGGCUAACUCCGUGCCAGCAGCCGCGGUAAUACGGAGGAUCCAAGCGUUAUCCGGAAUCAUUGGGUUUAAAGGGUCCGUAGGCGGUCUAAUAAGUCAGAGGUGAAAUCCUACAGCUCAACUGUAGCAUUGCCUUUGAUACUGUUAGACUUGAGUUAUUGUGAAGUAGUUAGAAUGUGUAGUGUAGCGGUGAAAUGCAUAGAUAUUACACAGAAUACCGAUUGCGAAGGCAGAUUACUAACAAUAUACUGACGCUGAGGGACGAAAGCGUGGGUAGCGAACAGGAUUAGAUACCCUGGUAGUCCACGCCGUAAACGAUGGAUACUAGCUGUUCGAUCAACAUUGGUUGGUUGAGUGGCUAAGCGAAAGUGAUAA
rnacentral:rRNA from 1 species